GACGUAGGGCGCGAGCGUUGUCCGGAUUUAUUGGGCGUAAAGAGCUCGUAGGCGGCUUGUCGCGUCGUUCGUGAAAACCCGGGGCUCAACUCCGGGCUUGCGGGCGAUACGGGCAGGCUAGAGUUCGGUAGGGGAGACUGGAAUCCUGGUGUAGCGGUGAAAUGCGCAGAUAUCAGGAGGGACACCGGUGGCGAAGGCGGGUCUCUGGGCCGAUACUGACGCUGAGGAGCGAAAGCGUGGGGAGCGAACAGG
rnacentral:rRNA from 1 species